AAUAGAUACCCAGGUAGUCCACGCCGUAAACGGUGGGCACUAGGUGUGGGCAGCAUUCCACGUUGUCCGUGCCGUAGCUAACGCAUUAAGUGCCCCGCCUGGGGAGUACGGCCGCAAGGCUAAAACUCAAAGGAAUUGACGGGGGCCCGCACAAGCGGCGGAGCAUGUGGCUUAAUUCGACGCAACGCGAAGAACCUUACCAAGGCUUGACAUACACCGGAAACAUCCAGAGAUGGGUGCCCCCUUGUGGUCGGUGUACAGGUGGUGCAUGGCUGCCGUCAGCUCGUGUCGUGAGAUGUUGGGUUAAGUCCCGCAACGAGCGCAACCCUUGUCCCGUGUUGCCAGCAGGCCCUUGUGGUGCUGGGGACUCACGGGAGACCGCCGGGGUCAACUCGGAGGAAGGUGGGGACGACGUCAAGUCAUCAUGCCCCUUAUGUCUUGGGCUGCACACGUGCUACAAUGGCCGGUACAAAGAGCUGCGAUACCGUGAGGUGGAGCGAAUCUCAAAAAGCCGGUCUCAGUUCGGAUUGGGGU
rnacentral:rRNA from 1 species